rnacentral:rRNA from 1 species
UACGAAGGGUGCAAGCGUUAAUCGGAAUUACUGGGCGUAAAGGGCGCGUAGGCGGACAGUUUAGUCAGAGGUGAAAGCCCAGGGCUCAACCUUGGAAUUGCCUUUGAUACUGGCUGUCUUGAGUACGGGAGAGGUGAGUGGAACUCCGAGUGUAGAGGUGAAAUUCGUAGAUAUUCGGAAGAACACCAGUGGCGAAGGCGACUCACUGGCCCGUUACUGACGCUGAGGCGCGAAAGCGUGGGGAGCAAACAGG